rnacentral:rRNA from 1 species
UACGGAGGGUGCGAGCGUUGUCCGGAAUCAUUGGGCGUAAAGGGCGCGUAGGUGGCGGGACAAGCGUGCGGUGAAAGCUCGGGGCUCAACCCCGAGUCGGCCGUGCGAACUGUUUUGCUUGAGCACUGCAGAGGCAGGCGGAAUUCCGGGUGUAGCGGUGGAAUGCGUAGAGAUCCGGAAGAACACCGGUGGCGAAGGCGGCCUGCUGGGCAGUAGCUGACACUGAGGCGCGACAGCGUGGGGAGCAAACAGG